GAGGAAUUUCUGGAUUCUUGGGCUUUUCAUUCCUAUCCAUCCACUGUUUGAUUACUUGGACCACAGCCUAUAAGUGUUUCUAAUAGAUCCCCUUUCUAUAUGUCUAGAAAAGGACAUUCAUUCUAUAAGUUCUGCUACUCUUGAAAGCCCUGAUUGAUAAAUCUUUAAGCAAAUUUUCUUCUAAUAGUGUUGCUUUUUUUUUUCAACAGUCUUCAAAUGAGUAAGAGUCACAGAAAUAGUCAGCUAAAAGAAGACCGGAGGACCACCUAAGCGCUUGAUUCCUGAUUUGCUUCAUCAAGACACCAGGUAAGGAAGCUGUUGCUUCCAGGCUGCCUCUGAGGAAGAGAACCGGGAUAAAGACGACUUCACAUCUGUCUGCAUGAAGGAUGCAGAAGUCCUCGCAAAGGAAAGGGAACAAGAAAUAAAACAUUUCCUAAAAAAAUACUUACCCCAAACUUCCAUUUUUGUCUUGAACCACAGUUUUAAACAAG
rnacentral:lncRNA from 1 species